AACGAACGCUGGCGGCAGGCUUAACACAUGCAAGUCGAGCGCCCCGCAAGGGGAGCGGCAGACGGGUGAGUAACGCGUGGGAAUCUACCCAUCUCUACGGGAUAACGCAUGGAAACGUGUGCUAAUACCGUAUACGUCCUUCGGGAGAAAGAUUUAUCGGAGAUGGAUGAGCCCGCGUUGGAUUAGCUAGUUGGUGGGGUAAAGGCCUACCAAGGCGACGAUCCAUAGCUGGUCUGAGAGGAUGAUCAGCCACACUGGGACUGAGACACGGCCCAGACUCCUACGGGAGGCAGCAGUGGGGAAUAUUGGACAAUGGGCGCAAGCCUGAUCCAGCCAUGCCGCGUGAGUGAUGGAGGCCCUAGGGUUGUAAAGCUCUUUCACCGGUGAAGAUAAUGACGGUAACCGGAGAAGAAGCCCCGGCUAACUUCGUGCCAGCCGCCGCCGUAAGAC
rnacentral:rRNA from 1 species